rnacentral:rRNA from 1 species
GUGGUUUAAUUCGAAGCAACGCGAAGAACCUUACCAAAUCUUGACAUCCUUUGACAACUCUAGAGAUAGAGCUUUCCCCUUCGGGGGACAAAGUGACAGGUGGUGCAUGGUUGUCGUCAGCUCGUGUCGUGAGAUGUUGGGUUAAGUCCCGCAACGAGCGCAACCCUUAAGCUUAGUUGCCAUCAUUAAGUUGGGCACUCUAAGUUGACUGCCGGUGACAAACCGGA